UAUGGCUCAGGAUGAACGCUGGCGGCGUGCUUAACCCAUGCAAGUCGAGCGAAGCACUUAAGUUUGAUUCUUCGGAUGAAGACUUUUGUGACUGAGCGGCGGACGGGUGAGUAACGCGUGGGUAACCUGCCUCAUACAGGGGGAUAACAGUUAGAAAUGACUGCUAAUACCGCAUAAGACCACGGUACCGCAUGGUACAGUGGUAAAAACUCCGGUGGUAUGAGAUGGACCCGCGUCUGAUUAGGUAGUUGGUGGGGUAACGGCCUACCAAGCCGACGAUCAGUAGCCGACCUGAGAGGGUGACCGGCCACAUUGGGACUGAGACACGGCCCAGACUCCUACGGGAGGCAGCAGUGGGGAAUAUUGCACAAUGGAGGAAACUCUGAUGCAGCGACGCCGCGUGAAGGAUGAAGUAUUUCGGUAUGUAAACUUCUACCAGCAGGGAAGAAAAUGACGGUACCUGACUAAGAAGCCCCGGCCAACUACGUGCCAGCAGCCGCGGUAAUACGUAGGGGGCAAGCGUUAUCCGGAUUUACUGGGUGUAAAGGGAGCGUAGACGGCACGGCAAGCCAGAUGUGAAAGCCCGGGGCUCAACCCCGGGACUGCAUUUGGAACUGCUGAGCUAGAGUGUCGGAGAGGCAAGUGGAAUUCCUAGUGUAGCGGUGAAAUGCGUAGAUAUUAGGAGGAACACCAGUGGCGAAGGCGGCUUGCUGGACGAUGACUGACGUUGAGGCUCGAAAGCGUGGGGAGCAAACAGGAUUAGAUACCCUGGUAGUCCACGCCGUAAACGAUGACUGCUAGGUGUCGGGUGGCAAAGCCAUUCGGUGCCGCAGCUAACGCAAUAAGCAGUCCACCUGGGGAGUACGUUCGCAAGAAUGCAACUCAAAUGAAUUGACGG
rnacentral:rRNA from 2 species